GCCCGGAUAGCUCAGUCGGCAGAGCGGCUCACUCGUAAUGAGCAGGUCGUGGGUUCGAUUCCCACUCCGGGCUCCA
rnacentral:tRNA from 1 species